ACGUGGCUGGUUCAGUCAGUAGAGUGUGUGACUCUUGAUCUCAGAGCUCUGGGUUCGAGCCCCAUGUCAGGUG
rnacentral:tRNA from 1 species